rnacentral:rRNA from 1 species
UACGUAGGGGGCGAGCGUUGUCCGGAUUCAUUGGGCGUAAAGACCUCGUAGGCGGUUUGGUAAGUCGGCGGUGAAAUUUCGGAGCCCAACUCCGAACGGUCCGUCGAUACUGCCAUGACUCGAGUCCGGUAGGGGAGUGUGGAAUUCCUGGUGUAGCGGUGAAAUGCGCAGAUAUCAGGAGGAACACCGGUGGCGAAGGCGGCACUCUGGGCCGGUACUGACGCUGAGGAGGGAAAGCUAGGGGAGCAAACAGG